AAAUAUGAAUGGAUUUAAUGAGGCAGCCUGUGCCAUCUCUGAGCAGAAUCCUCCAUCUUUGGGGCCAUCGUUCUCUUCUCACUACCAUGCACCUUCUUGGUCCUAGAUAAUGAUACCAUUAACCUGAAUCCCAGAAGGAUGAGUGAGAAAUAGACUUGAUAAAAAUCAACAUACCACUGAAUUCUGCUGUUCUAAAAUCUGAGGCCUCUUGCUGUCUGGGUGCUUCAGGAAGACAUACUCCACCUCAUUCAGAUCAGCCAUUCUGAAGGACCUCAGGUCGUUGGGAAGGAGGCCUGCUAUAGCCCAGCUGGUGUAGAUGGUUGUCUCUGCCUGUGACAUGGAUGACCUGGGCACCGACAAUGCUGUGAGGAUUGAAGGCAGCUGGCUGCGCACAACCUUGUUUACGUCUCAUGGCAGUCUGCAGUGUUAUCCAGGACUUGGCUUCCUCUGCUUUUGGAACCUGUGAAGAAGCUGAGUAGUGACUCUAGAAGGGGCUGGUUGGAACCGGGGCUGAGGAGGAGGACGCUGGCAAGCUGCCACUCACGAGAAGAUGCACGGAGUCUUGCAGAUUAGAAACAGACUACAGCAGGAGGGGCACUGAUUUAUAAUUACCUUAAUGGAGCCUGGAAUUGAGACAAAUGGAUGUUCACAUCCCAUUUUCUUCUUAGGAC